rnacentral:rRNA from 1 species
CUUGCACCACAUAAUGAGAGUAGCGCACUGGUGAGUAACACGUGGGAACAUACCUUGAAGUGGGGGACAACAGAGGGAAACUUCUGCUAAUACCGCAUAAUCCCUGAGGGGGAAAGAUUUAUCGCUUUAAGAUUGGCCCGCGGAAGAUUAGGUAGUUGGUGGGGUAAAGGCCUACCAAGCCGACGAUCUAUAGCUGGUCUGAGAGGACGAACAGCCACAUUGGAACUGAGACACGGUCCAGACUCCUACGGAAGGCAGCAG